GCUGAGGCGCGCGUGCUGUGAGCGCGCGUGCUGUGCGUGCGCGUGCGCGCGUAUGUGUGUUGAGGAGCACAUGGACGACAGAGGACGAGAUUUUAGCAGCGCGGCUAAUUAAAGCAGCUCAUCGCCUGAGGGGGAAAAAAAAAAGAACUCAGGACUAAAUUUAACACCCGGAACGCAGACACAGGCUUGUGUUUUAUAUCAGACGAGCAAAAAAAAAAAAAGAAAAAAAAAACCAAAGAAAAAAAAAGGUCUAGCAAGAGGAACCAGGAGAGACGACGGCGCUCGUUAUUCGUGCCCGGAGGAACUGGAACUGAGCUUCAGUUUGCGACCGGCUCCUGAACGCGGAGCUCCUCUCUCGAUUAGGCACUCUGGAGAGUUGAGGCCGGAUGCUUCGAACGAGAAAGGGACAGUCUUUAAGAAUCAUUUCGAAGAAGGACGUACUGAAAUCAUUCUCAUGGCUGGAUUGGGAAGCUGUCGCAAGGACUUUAAUAGGAAACGUGCUCAGUCAUCUGAGACUCUUGCUUUUAAACUGCAUGUCAUGGAACAUCAGUGUCAUGAGACGAACACACCGUGCAAGGCCACGCAUGCAUAUCUAAUACACACGCCGCCUCCCUCUCUUCGUCGGCACCUCCCGAGAGCGACCCGUUACUCCACACCAGGUGGAACUGGAACGGUUCUGCAGUCUGAUUGAGAGCAUAACGGCGCCAUUGGCGUUUCUGGAAUUUCUGCAUCUGGCUGACGUCCAAGGUGUAAAUCCUGCUUCCUUGUGCUAACGGUUCAGCGAAGAUCCAGCUUCGAGGCUUCCAUUAGAUGACCAACUAAGACAGGAGAAGGCGAGACCUUCGUAUAUCUGCUUACACAUACCUUGAGCUCAUCGAAGCGCAGGGUGAAGUGGAGGAUCUCUGCGAACUGGCGUGCCAGAGCCUGCUCUUGCUCCAAGUGCUGCGUGGGGCUGCAGUGCGCACUCGUUAGGAAUCCCAGCAGGCCGUGCAGAGCACCUUCUGCACAACGCGAGACAACAGGCAAAGAGGUAGUGUUACAUUACAGCUGCCCCGAUGGACGGACGACAGUGAAAGACAAACUCGUAGAGUUGAGCAAAUGAAAAAGGAACCAAGGCCCAAUAGCAAGAAUCCAAUCGAAGGGGUGUUUUUCCAGAGACCUGCCCGGGGCAGAACGUGUUCGUAAUUCCGAUUUUAACUGAAGUUCACGUAGAGAACGUGCAGACGGCGUGCACUCCUCACCCAGCAAGAAAGCGAGUGGAUCGCAGUGCAGUGAGCUGCGUAGACCUAUUUAUAUCCACAUGCAUUUUUAACUGUCUAGUCGAAUAUCUGGCAGAGGCGCAUAAAUCUCGGUUGCGCAUCAGAGAGACGUUUAGUCAGUGUAGGCCUUUGAAAGCUCUUCUCUAGAGACUGCUGCAGUUGGUUGGUGAUUAUGUGCGAUUAGGGAGAUGUGUCAUAGUUAACUGGGACAUGACCCACUAAUCCGCAUGAAUUGCUGCUUACCUACCGCUCGGAUACCAAACCCUAAACCUGUACUGCCCUUCCUCCUAUUGAUCUAUAUUACUUAUUAGAUGUGAAACGUAACGCUUGCUCUACCGUCCGUGACUUAUUUUCUCACGCAGUAAUAAUAAAUAUCAGGAACUAGACUCCGUGUUAAAUUGAACCGUUUAAAGAGUGAACAGAAAGCAAUAUUUCUCUAGAUGAGGCCUCCGAGGGUUUGACUCGCCCAGAAUAAUAUCUUAAUCCAAUUACGACGCGUUGUUGCCUGGCUCGAGGCUAACUACCACCAACGAGCAUGAACACUGUAAUCCUAAUAGCAUUUACCUCACCACGACAUGACGUUACAGCCGGGUCUAUUCGCUACACUAUUCAAGUAACAUCCAUGAACGUGACGGUACAAAGAGAAGGAGUUCGAGGACAUUGUGUAUACAGAAAAGACCUCGGAGUGAUGGUGUAGAGAACUAGAGGCGAGAGCGAGCGAGGUGUGAGGCUGACGGAGGUUAUACAGCUGCUUUUUAUAUCGCUAGCUUUGCUGAGUCAUUCGACACUGACCGUCACUGCGCUGAGCAAUAACUAUGCAAAGCUCAGAUUCUUGGCAGUUCAAAAAACACUACACAAAUACAGCUGAUGUUCAGUCUAGGCUCGUGUGAGAUUGAUUUUUCCCUGCUCAUGAGUUGCCGUUAAAAAAAAAAAUAAUAAAAAAAGCACAAUUAACGAUUUAAUCCUACAGGAGGGUGUUGUAGUAGUAGUAGUAGUAAUAAUAUCAGGUCAUUUUAGGUGAUUGUGCAAUGUGUGCGGUAAACACAUGUCACAUGGUACCUUAUCACAUGUCCUCAAGGAACCCAUGAGGUGAGAAUCGAAUUUUUUUUUAUUUUUAAAACUUUAAACACUUCUUUAAUCCACAUACCAAGGGCAGGGGGUGAAACGUCUAGCUAACAAGGUUGUAAAGGCCAGUGCGUUUUGCAAUGGCGCUGCAAAGUCAAUCUCAGGAGGCAUUCCGAAAAUGGCUGAAAGUGGAUUUGGAUCAAGGGUUUUAUGUUGAAGGCGUUCUGCAAUGUUAUUAAAUAUUUCAGUUUAGAAUUUUCAUUGAAAGUAAUAAUGGAAAAAGGGGUUUAUUUAACGUCUCAUUGUUGGUGAAAGAAUCUUUUUAGGUCGGACAUUUUCACCGAAAUGAUUCAGUGACGUACGUGUCUAAUAUUAGCCAUGUUGAAGCGAUAUAGCAGUUCAUCCGUAAAGGAAAAUUCCGUCAUCAAUUACUCAACCUCACGGGAGAUUUCUGUCCCUCCAUGUACAGUUCAGGUAAGCAGAAAGUUCACAAAGGCAUGGUAAGAGUCAUCCGUGUGACUCCACUGGCUUUUGAAGAAAAAAAAAAUGUUGGUCACUAGACUGUAAAAAGGGAGGGACGGAAAUCUCACAGGUUUGGUUAAAAAUGUCUUCAUGUGAGUCGGGAAGAAGGAGGGUAGGCGCAUGGGUUUGGAACGACACGAGGGCUUUGGGGUGAACUAUCGCUUUAAUGAACUCAAAACCUUCCCCAUUCUCUUACCUUGACAGAAAGUGUAGUCGAGAGCUGGGGUGUGAGAUGGGGGGGGAAAGGGGCGGGGCUUCCAGGUAGUGUUCGUUAAUAUCAGAGAAUUCAAAACAACUCUAUGAAUCAUUCCCGAUUAACCCUUAAAGACCUAGCUUCAUUUUUUUUUCAGCAUCAAGUGCCAUAUCAUUUCAAUCUGGCUCAUUUAAAGUCCCAAUUUAAAAAAAAAAAAUGCCCGAAACAAUUGGGUUUUUUUUCCCCAAGUUAUACCUGGAUGUUUUAGACUUCCGAAUGAAAUUUUGUCUUCAUCUAACAUUCCCUUAGCAAGUUAAAGCCAUUUAUUACAAUAUAAUUCUAAGAGUUUUUCCAAUGGGGGGAAAAAAAGGCAUUUUAUUUACUAACACUGUAGGUGUGUCCAUAAAAGAGAGAUGUCUCUCAAAUGAGGAAUUUCCUUUCCCCUUUUAAACAAACAAACAUAUUGAGUGGUGGAGAAGAUGACAGUUUGAACCAAUUUGAGCACGGGGAGGGCGGGACUAAGCAGCAACAGCUGUUUCCUGUUUGGCUCGGGAAGGAACUGUAUGGGUUUCCUUCCUUAACGGAUCGAUGCUGCAAGAUGCGACAGCGUGACGUAUCCGCAUUCCCUACGGAGCAUCUGAACGCCCAGCUGAGACGAACGUGCCAUCAAGAGACGGGACUUUUUAAAGCAUACAGUUUGGCUUAGCGGUUCAAAUAUUUUAAUGAAGGGUUACUAUGACAACUGGA